AUUGAAUAUGCUUCUCAAUAUGCAAUUGAGCACUUAGUCAUAGGCUCUUCAAACAAAGGUGGUUUUCUUAGAUUCAAGAUAGCAGAUAUUCCAGGAACAGUCUCAAAAGGGGCACCAGAUUUCUGCACAGUAUAUGUUGUUACUAAAGGGAAGAUUCAAUCCAUGCGAUCUGCUUCUCGUGCUGCUCCAACCUUUUCCCCUCUUCAAAACCAACUUUCUCAACACAGUGGCAGAUUAGACCUACCAGAACCACGUGUAGUCAAAGGGCUUGAAAGGAGGUCUUUUGAAGCACCACGCCGUAUAUCACAUGAUGAACCAGAGCCCUUCAGG
rnacentral:sRNA from 1 species